CCUACGGGGGGCUGCAGUGAGGAAUAUUGGUCAAUGGACGAGAGUCUGAACCAGCCAAGUAGCGUGAAGGAUGACUGCCCUAUGGGUUGUAAACUUCUUUUAUAAAGGAAUAAAACGAGGCACGUGUGCCUUUUUGCAUGUACUUUAUGAAUAAGGAUCGGCUAACUCCUUGCCAGCAGCCGCGGUAAUACGGAGGAUCCGAGCGUUAUCCGGAUUUAUUGGGUUUAAAGGGAACGUAGAUGGGUUGUUAAGUCAGUUGGGAAAGUUUGCGGCUCAACCGUAAAAUUGCAAUUGAUACUGGCAGUCUUGAGUACAGUUGAGGUAGGCGGAAUUCGUUGUGUAGCGGUGAAAUGCUUAGAUAUCACGAAGAACCCCGAUUGCGAAGGCAGCUUACUAAACUGUGACUGACAUUGAUGCUCGAAAGUGUGGGUAUCAAACAGGAUUAGAUACCCGGGUAGUC
rnacentral:rRNA from 1 species